rnacentral:tRNA from 1 species
GGCCUGGUAGCUCAGUUGGUUAGAGCGUCGCGAAUGUCGUGGGUUCGAUCCCCAUCCGGGCCA